UAGGGAAUCUUCGGCAAUGGACGAAAGUCUGACCGAGCAACGCCGCGUGAGUGAAGAAGGUUUUCGGAUCGUAAAACUCUGUUGUUAGAGAAGAACAAGGACGUUAGUAACUGAACGUCCCCUGACGGUAUCUAACCAGAAAGCCACGGCUAACUACGUGCCAGCAGCCGCGGUAAUACGUAGGUGGCAAGCGUUGUCCGGAUUUAUUGGGCGUAAAGCGAGCGCAGGCGGUUUCUUAAGUCUGAUGUGAAAGCCCCCGGCUCAACCGGGGAGGGUCAUUGGACACUGGGAGACUUGAGUGCAGAAGAGGAGAGUGGAAUUCCAUGUGUAGCGGUGAACUGCGUAGAUAUAUGGAGGAACACCAGUGGCGAAGGCGGCUCUCUGGUCUGUAACUGACGCUGAGGCUCGAAAGCGUGGGGAGCAAACAGG
rnacentral:rRNA from 1 species